UUUUCUCUUCAAGGAAUUAUUGAGCUGUCCAGAUCAGACAAAGUUGAAAAGAUUGUUGGCGCUGCAGUAGGAUCAGAUUUUUCUGGUUUAAUUAUUGGUCUUUUGAUUGGCUUUAUAAUAAUGCACCUUAUUUUGAAAAGAUUUGGACAACAUAAUAGGAACAAUAGCGUAAUGAUGUCAGCACUGGAUGAUGUACCUUUUAGAGAUGAUGAUCGGUGAUACUUUAACGCAUUAACUUGAAUUAUCAUAUUUAUGCGAAUGGGAUACUUAUUAAAUAGUGAUUCUGUAAUGUUUUGAAGUUGUGAUUAUAUCAAU